AGGAGGGCACAGGGCAGAGGGUCAGGGCCCAAGAGGAGGCGGUGGGCCGGCCUGGGCUCCUCUCUGGACCUGCUCCCUCCUCCGCCUGGGGCCGUGCAGGGCAGAGAGGGGCCGGAGCCAUCCCUGCACCCCAUGCGCCCCCUCUGGCCUGGCGUCUCUGAUGUGGGAUGUGAGAUCCAGAAGUGGCCAGCUCCCGAGUGAAGCUGUCUCAAAAUGAACCCAUCAAGGCAACCUGGAGCUUGGUUUCUCUCUGUUCUGUGGCUGCUGUUUCCUGCAUGGAGCCGAGAACCGUGACUGGGGCCUUUCGGCUGGAGGCACCACAGAGAAAUGGCCAGCUCAUCUAGAGACAGAAGCAGACCAAGGGCUGGAAGCUGGGAGCUCUGGCACUAUGCGGGUCAGCAGGUGCCCACUGGGGCCAGUGUCCGGGGCCAGCGGGAGAGGCCGGUGCAGGUGCCAGGCCAGGAUGAGGACCACGUGCCUGACUUUCAGCGGCGAGCCGGGUGCCGGACUUCGCAGUGCUAAAGGCCAGCAGAAGGACAAACAGGCAAGAAUUACUGAGGAACAAAGUGACAAGCAAGCAAGCACACUGGGUGGUGAACAGGAGCCGAGCCCGACAGGAGACAUGGCCUCUGCACUGCGGGGGUGUGGCGGGGCGCUCGCUGGCAGGCACAGCCCCGGUUCCAUCCCCUGAACCACAAAAAAAGAUUAAAAAAAGAUGUCAGUGUUUUAUAAAAAUAGAACUAGAAGACAGCAUACGUGAGGUUUAUCUGACUUCAGCGUGAAGGGAAGACUUCCUACGCGAAAAAUAAUGAAGGGAGCUCAAAAAAAACCAGAACUAGAUUUUAAAAUUCUGUAAAUCACAAAGCUCCAUGAACCAAAAUUUUAAGCUAUUUCAUAAGUAGG
rnacentral:lncRNA from 1 species